CAGUAGCCGCGGUAAUACGUAGGGGGCAAGCGUUGUCCGGAGUCAUUGGGCGUAAAGCGCGUGUAGGCGGCUCGAUAAGUCUGCUGUGAAAGUUCAGGGCUCAACCCUGAAAUGCCGGUGGAAACUGUCGAGCUUGAGUCCGGAAGAGGCAAGUGGAAUUCCUGGUGUAGCGGUGAAAUGCGCAGAUAUCAGGAGGAACACCAAUGGCGAAGGCAGCUUGCUGGGACGGUACUGACGCUGAGACGCGAAAGCGUGGGGAGCAAACAGGAUUAGAUACCCGAGUAGUCCCUGUCUCUUAUAA
rnacentral:rRNA from 1 species